UCACAUCUUUCUCUCUUUACACUUCUGUGAAACAAACCACUGGGGUGUGACAGCUGCAGGUCACAUUUCAAGUAUCCCAGGUAAUCCCUGGCACCAGGUAAAGGGCUCCAACCCCAGGGACAGUGACCCUGUAAGGGGACUCCCCCCAACCAACAGCAUUGAAAUCCAAGUUGAGAUACGCAACAGCUCAGUCGACAGUGUUUGCCUAGCAUGCCUGACGCCCUGGGUUGCAUCCUCAGCACUGAAUCAACCAAUGUAUGCUGGUGUAGGUUGUGAUCCCAGCUCUCAGGAGGUGGAGGUAGGAAGAUCAGAAGUUUAAGGUCAUCCUCGGCUAACGUGCAUAAUUGAGAGCAGCCUAGGUUAUGUGAGACCCUGUCUUAAACAAAACAAACAAACAAACAAUCUCAAACCAGGAUUUGAGGCUGAAAUGCCUGAUACUGGAGCAAAACAGAAACUCAGAAAGAGUGUCUGUCCGCUCUAAUCUAGAGAUUCUCAUAGGCUCUUGCUCACCCUACUGCCACUUCCAGGCCCCCCAGACCUCAGCUGGAGGUGAACACAGCAUUGUAAGCUCGCCAGCCAGCAGCAGCAGAAGACAGAAAUACUGCUCAGCACAGCUGGCCAGACAGCGGAGACUGUUUACUCUCUAAUGUCCAGAACAACUCAGACAAUCAGAGAAGGAUUUGGCUGCUGGCAGCUCCUGGAUUUGUGGUCUCGAAGAAAUCAUCAUCACAGCAGGCUGAGCAGCAGCCAGGAUGGGAGGGAGGCCCCCUGCCUGGCCCUCAUUCAGUGUCCUAUAGGUCUCACUCAUGCUCACCUCUUGGAUCUGCAGUGACUGGGCUAGAUAGGUGACUAGGGUAAGUGCAGGGCUCUGGCUAAUGAGUGAACAUCAGAGGAGGCUCCCCAUGGGACCUACUCCUGGCACCACCAUGUGGCCCCUGCUUAACCAGGCAGAGCCUUAGGCUCUAGAGAGGGGGAUUUUCCACCCUCUCUAGGUCUGUGUGUGCUGGCACCACAGCCUUUCUUCACUGUCAGCCAGGGUCUCUGUCCCUCAGACAGCUUCUCCAGCUGGAGCCUGUGCCUGCCUGCUUCCAUUAUUAGUUAUUCCUGCCCUAGCUGACAGGUCCACACUUUCUGGGGUCCAUCUCUCAACUUGUGUACAUUUGAGUGCAAUGUGGGAGCAUCCAUGGCUUAUAACAGCAAUCAGACCUCAGUGAUCCAGACUCAUCAGCUUAGACACCACAUCCCCUGUGCCCCCCCCCCCCGAUAAUUCAUAGAUUUACACUUAAGGAGAAUCCGGGACAGCUGAGGAUAUCAGCUAAGAACCCCUUCCACCAAUACACACUCCUUUAUCUCUCACCAGACCCAGUUUAGCUUUGUUAAAUCACAAAGAAUGCAUUGAUCACCAAGUGAAGAGCCUAGUUUUAAGCACUUGUUUCAGUGUCAAACACCGUCACAGGUUCUGUGCCCUGCUUCCCACUGUGUUGGUAUCAGUCUGAGGCUUGAAGAGGGAGCAAGGUGACAACAGGGUCCAGCAGGACAGCUCACACCUAUAAUAUAGCUCUUAGGAGGCGGAGGCAGUAAGGCUGAAUCCCAAGUCAGGCUACGCCGGCAGACCCUGCCUCAAAAACAAAAUGCAAAGUCACCAAGCCAGCAGAAAGGUCAGCAGAAGAUCAGCCUUUCACCGCUGGGACCAGGGGACAUACAAGUCUCUUUUCCAGGAGCAUCCACAACUGGACUCCAUCUUGCUGAGACUUUAUUAUCUGGUUGGGUUUCAUGCCCACAUCUGAAGCCAGCUACUGCUCUGUUCAGAGUGGGCGGAUGAUGGAAAGACAGUCAGCCUGCUUCACCAGGAUCCAGGGAGAAGAGGAAAUGGGGCUGAGUCAGAGUGCAGUCAGUACCAGGAGGGUGCGUGGACCCUGGGGCAACAAGAACAGGUGGUCUGAUGCCGAGGAAAUGAGGGAGGGAAUCAAAACUCUAGAAGGAUGAGACUUGGGCUGGAGAGAUGGUUCAGUGGUUAAGAGCACUGACUGCUCUUCCAGAGGUCCUGAGUUCAAUUCCCAGCAACCAUAUGGUGGCUCACAACCAUCUGAAACGAGAUCUGACGCCCUCUUCUGGUGUGUCUGAAGACAGCAACAGUGUACAUAUAUAAAAUAAAUAAGUAAAUC
rnacentral:lncRNA from 1 species